CACGUAGGCACCAAGCGUUGUCCGGAUUUAUUGGGCGUAAAGAGCUCGUAGGCGGUUCGGUAAGUCGGAUGUGAAAACUUUGGGCUCAACCCAAAGCGUGCACUCGAUACUGCCGUGACUGGAGUUCGGUAGGGGAGCGGGGAAUUCCUAGUGUAGCGGUGAAAUGCGUAGAGAUGUGGAGGAACACCAGUGGCGAAGGCGACUCUUUGGUCUGUAACUGACGCUGAGGCGCGAAAGCGUGGGGAGCAAACAGG
rnacentral:rRNA from 1 species